rnacentral:rRNA from 1 species
GAUGAACGCUGGCGGCGUGCCUAAUACAUGCAAGUCGAGCGAACGGACGAGAAGCUUGCUUCUCUGAUGUUAGCGGCGGACGGGUGAGUAACACGUGGAUAACCUACCUAUAAGACUGGGAUAACUUCGGGAAACCGGAGCUAAUACCGGAUAAUAUUUUGAACCGCAUGGUUCAAAAGUGAAAGACGGUCUUGCUGUCACUUAUAGAUGGAUCCGCGCUGCAUUAGCUAGUUGGUAAGGUGACGGCUUACCAAGGCAACGAUGCAUAGCCGACCUGAGAGGGUGAUCGGCCAAACUGGACCUGAGACACGGUCCAGACUCCUACGGGAGGCAGCAGUAGGAAAUCUUCCGCAAUGGGCGAAAGCCUGACGGAGAAACGCCGCGUGAGUGAGGAAGGUCUUCGGAUCGUAAAACUCUGUUAUUAGGGAAGAACAUAUGUGUAAGUACCUGUGAACAUCUUGACGGUACCUAAUAAGAAAACCACGGCUAACUACGU